CUCGAUGUCGGCUCAUCACAUCCUGGGGCUGUAGUCGGUCCCAAGGGUAUGGCUGUUCGCCAUUUAAAGUGGUACGUGAGCUGGGUUUAAAACGUCGUGAGACAGUUUGGUCCCUAUCUGCCGUGGGCGUUGGAAGUUUGAGGGGGGCUGCUCCUAGUACGAGAGGACCGGAGUGGACGAACCUCUGGUGUACCGGUUGUCACGCCAGUGGCAUCGCCGGGUAGCUAAGUUCGGGAAAGAUAACCGCUGAAAGCAUCUAAGCGGGAAACUUGCCCCAAGAUGAGACUUCCCGGAGACUAGAUCUCCCUAAAGAGUCGUUCAAGACCAGAACGUUGAUAGGCUGGGUGUGGAAGCGCAGUAAUGCGUUAAGCUAACCAGUACUAAUUGCUCGUGAGGCUUGUCCUC
rnacentral:rRNA from 1 species